rnacentral:lncRNA from 1 species
CCGUUUUGAAAUUAUUAAUAGAGCCCUCAUAACUUCUAACAUCUCAUAAAAGUCCCUUGUUUAAUAAUUAUAGUUUGACCCCAAUUUCUAAUUGCAGAUAGGAGCCUCUAAUCCCAUAAAUUGCAAGAGAGGCCCCAUCCCCAAAUCUACCAUAGCCGACCGAAACAUGCUCCAAAUUCACCAACCCGAUCGAUUUCUUUCUCAAACCCUAACAAAGACCACUACCCGGUUUGAACAUAAUACAGAUUCAACAUUAAUUCUCAAUUUUUACAGCAAUAAGAAAAAUUACAGAACUGAGGUUUUGUUGCAACAUCUCAUAAUCAUCUAAAACCCAAAUCAAAAACCAAAAAUCACUCUAAAAAAGAAAAAAAAAUGCAAAACGUGUGGAUCGAAAAUAUUAAAACAAUCGAGCAGCCAAAAAAAGAAAAGGAAGCUGCCAACGCCAAAACCAAAUUUGAGAGGAGAGAGAGGAAGUUCAAAUAAAAUCCCUGCAGCAGCCAAAAGAUGUCUUUUUCGCCAAACCCAAACUUGAGAGGAGAGAGUUCAAAUAAAACCCCCCCUCUCCUUUUUUUUUUGUUCCCUGUGAUGUUAAUUUGGUUAAG